CAAAGCACUUUGAAGAGAGAGUUAAAGAGGACGUGAAACCGGUGAGGUGGAAACGGACAGAGCCGGCGUAUCUGGCCCGCAUUCAGCCGUGGGCUGGUCGGCUGCAGCAAGAAUGUCACCAGACUGGGGCUUUUUGUUGUUUGCCGGCUGGCUUGCGGUGCAUUUGCGGGUGGAGUGCGCUGAGACGCUUGGUGCAGCGGCACGAGCCCGGUUUAGAGGCAACUUUGUUUGGAACCCGUGCCGCGGGGAGUGUUGUUUGUGCUGGGCGCUGGUGUGGCGGUGGUUUCGGGCUUGGGUGCGUGCUGAGCAGGCAGUUGGUGGCGGUCGCGUGCGACACGUGCUGGCGGUCAGUUCGGUUCUGCUCUCGCUCUCAGCCGUCCGUUCUCGGUGUAAGAGCCGGUCAUCUGUCCGACCCGUCUUGAAACACGGACCAAGGAGUUUAGCGUGUGCGCGAGUCAUUGGGCGUUGAAAACCCAAAGGCGCAAUGAAAGUGAAGGUCUCCCUCGUUGGAGCUGAUGUGUGAUCCUGGCCACUGCGGUGCGUCGGGCGCAACACGGUCCCGUCCUGGCCGCAUGCGGCGGGGCGGAGACAGAGCGUACGCGCUGAGACCCGAAAGAUGGUGAACUAUUCCUGAGCAGGACGAAGCCAGAGGAAACUCUGGUGGAAGUCCGAAGCG
rnacentral:rRNA from 1 species